UACGUAGGGGGCAAGCGUUGUCCGGAAUCAUUGGGCGUAAAGAGCGUGUAGGCGGCCCGAUAAGUCCGCUGUGAAAGUCCAGGGCUCAACCCUGGGAUGCCGGUGGAUACUGUCGGGCUCGAGUCCGGAAGAGGAGUGUGGAAUUCCUGGUGUAGCGGUGAAAUGCGCAGAUAUCAGGAGGAACGCCAAUGGUGAAAACAGGUAGCUGGGGAGUGUGCCGACGCUGAGACACGAAAGCCAGGGGAGCGAACGGG
rnacentral:rRNA from 1 species